GAUGAACGCUAGCUACAGGCUUAACACAUGCAAGUCGAGGGGCAGCAUUUUAGUUUGCUUGCAAUGUUUGAUGGCGACCGGCGCACGGGUGCGUAACGCGUAUGUAACCUACCUCAAACAGGGGCAUAACACUGAGAAAUUGGUACUAAUUCCCCAUAACACCUGAAGGGGCAUCCUUUUGGGUUGAAAGUUCCGGCGGUUUGAGAUGGACAUGCGUUGUAUUAGCUAGUUGGUGAGGUAACGGCUCACCAAGGCGACGAUACAUAGGGGGACUGCGAGGUUAACCCCCCACAUUGGGACUGAGACACGGCCCAG
rnacentral:rRNA from 1 species